rnacentral:tRNA from 1 species
GGGUGCUUAGCUCAGUUGGUAGAGCAGCUGCCUUACACGCAGCAUGUCAGCGGUUCGAGUCCGUUAGCACCCACCA